CAAGGCUGAAGAUGCUUGGGCCAAGAGCAUCGAUGGCCAUGCUACUGGGAAGAUCAUCGUCGAGCCUUAAGCAUGAUUAUAUCAACUCUAAUAUGCCUAAUGAAAAAGGUGUGAUGUAGCAUGCGAGGGUUAGGUAAUAAUUAUUUGCAUUAGAACAAGGUAUUUGAUGAUGUUUGUUUCUGCCUCACGCUUAGCAGACUGGUUAUUGUAAAUGUGUGCAUCUUUUAUUC
rnacentral:lncRNA from 1 species